rnacentral:rRNA from 1 species
GAUGAACGCUGGCGGCGUGCCUAAUACAUGCAAGUCGAGCGAACGGACGAGAAGCUUGCUUCUCUGAUGUUAGCGGCGGACGGGUGAGUAACACGUGGAUAACCUACCUAUAAGACUGGGAUAACUUCGGGAAACCGGAGCUAAUACCGGAUAAUAUUUUGAACCGCAUGGUUCAAAAGUGAAAGACGGUCUUGCUGUCACUUAUAGAUGGAUCCGCGCUGCAUUAGCUAGUUGGUAAGGUAACGGCUUACCAAGGCAACGAUGCAUAGCCGACCUGAGAGGGUGAUCGGCCACACUGGAACUGAGACACGGUCCAGACUCCUACGGGAGGCAGCAGUAGGGAAUCUUCCGCAAUGGGCGAAAGCCUGACGGAGCAACGCCGCGUGAGUGAUGAAGGUCUUCGGAUCGUAAAACUCUGUUAUUAGGGAAGAACAUAUGUGUAAGUAACUGUGCACAUCUUGACGGUACCUAAUCAGAAAGCCACGGCUAACUACGUGCCAGCAGCCGCGGUAAUACGUAGGUGGCAAGCGUUAUCCGGAAUUAUUGGGCGUAAAGCGCGCGUAGGCGGUUUUUUAAGUCUGAUGUGAAAGCCCACGGCUCAACCGUGGAGGGUCAUUGGAAACUGGAAAACUUGAGUGCAGAAGAGGAAAGUGGAAUUCCAUGUGUAGCGGUGAAAUGCGCAGAGAUAUGGAGGAACACCAGUGGCGAAGGCGACUUUCUGGUCUGUAACUGACGCUGAUGUGCGAAAGCGUGGGGAUCAAACAGGAUUAGAUACCCUGGUAGUCCACGCCGUAAACGAUGAGUGCUAAGUGUUAGGGGGUUUCCGCCCCUUAGUGCUGCAGCUAACGCAUUAAGCACUCCGCCUGGGGAGUACGACCGCAAGGUUGAAACUCAAAGGAAUUGACGGGGACCCGCACAAGCGGUGGAGCAUGUGGUUUAAUUCGAAGCAACGCGAAGAACCUUACCAAAUCUUGACAUCCUUUGACAACUCUAGAGAUAGAGCUUUCCCCUUCGGGGGACAAAGUGACAGGCGGUGCAUGGUUGUCGUCAGCUCGUGUCGUGAGAUGUUGGGUUAAGUCCCGCAACGAGCGCAACCCUUAAGCUUAGUUGCCAUCAUUAAGUUGGGCACUCUAAGUUGACUGCCGGUGACAAACCGGAGGAAGGUGGGGAUGACGUCAAAUCAUCAUGCCCCUUAUGAUUUGGGCUACACACGUGCUACAAUGGACAAUACAAAGGGCAGCGAAACCGCGAGGUCAAGCAAAUCCCAUAAAGUUGUUCUCAGUUCGGAUUGUAGUCUGCAACUCGACUACAUGAAGCUGGAAUCGCUAGUAAUCGUAGAUCAGCAUGCUACGGUGAAUACGUUCACGGGUCU